rnacentral:rRNA from 1 species
UACGGAGGGUGCAAACGUUGCUCGGAAUUAUUGGGCGUAAAGCGCACGUAGGCGGUUUCGUAAGUCGGAUGUGAAAGCCCAGGGCUCAACCCUGGAAGUGCAUUCGAAACUGCGGGGCUGGAGUAUGGAAGAGGGUCGCGGAAUUCCCGGUGUAGAGGUGAAAUUCGUAGAUAUCGGGAGGAACACCAGUGGCGAAGGCGGCGACCUGGGCCAAUACUGACGCUGAGGUGCGAAAGCGUGGGGAGCAAACAGG